AAGUCGAAAAAUACGAACUAUAGUUUAAAACUUAAAGAUUUUGGCGGUGCCUUAUCAAACCGGGGGAACCUGUCUCAUAAUUCGAUAAUCCACGAAUGCCCUACCCUUUCUAGAUCAAACAGCUUGUAUACUGCCGUCGUAAGCACACCUCUAAAAGUAUAAGUAUGCAAUAAUGAUUAAUCUCAUUUACGUCAGGUCAAAGUGCAGCCUAUGAAAGGGAGAUGAUGGGUUACAACCUAAAAAUAGAUACAGACUGUAACACUAAAAGCUACAUAAAGGUGGACUCGGACGUAAUCACAAUUUAAUACUGUAAUGAAAAUGAAUCUAAGGUAUGCACACAUCGCCCGUCACUCUCGCCUAAAGGCG
rnacentral:rRNA from 1 species